rnacentral:tRNA from 1 species
GCUUUAGUGGUGUGUAAACACAAUAAGUUGUAAACUUAGAGAUGCUUCGGCCUGGGCUA